rnacentral:rRNA from 1 species
GUCCAGACUCCUACGGGAGGCAGCAGUGGGGGAUAUUGCACAAUGGGGGGAACCCUGAUGCAGCGACGCCGCGUGGGUGAAGGAGCGUUUCGGCGCGUAAAGCUCUAUCAGCAGGGAAGAAGAUGACGGUACCUGACCAAGAAGCUCCGGCUAAAUACGUGCCAGCAGCCGCGGUAAUACGUAUGGAGCAAGCGUUAUCCGGAUUUACUGGGUGUAAAGGGAGCGCAGACGGCAGCGCAAGCCAGGAGUGAAAGCCCGGGGCCCAACCCCGGGACUGCUCUUGGAACUGCGGGGCUGGAGUGCAGGAGGGGCAGGCGGAAUUCCUGGUGUAGCGGUGAAAUGCGUAGAUAUCAGGAGGAACACCGGUGGCGAAGGCGGCCUGCUGGACUGCAACUGACGUUGAGGCCCGAAAGCGUGAGGAGCAAACAGGAUUAGAUACCCGGGUAC